rnacentral:misc_RNA from 1 species
GAUGAAGAACGCAGCGAAAUGCGAUAAUUAAUGUGAAUUGCAGAAUUUAGUGAAUCAUCGAAUCUUUGAACGCACAUUGCGCCCCUUGGUAUUCCGGGGGGCAUGCCUGUUCGAGCGUCAUUUCAACCCUCAAGCUCUGCUUGGUCUUGGGCCGCGCCGGCGACGGCGGGCCUCAAAAACAGUGGCGGCGCCAUCUGGUUCCUCAGCGUAGUAAUUCUUCUCGCUGUUGGGCCCGGGUGGCCGCUGGCCAGCAACCCCAAAUUUUCUAUGGUUGACCUCGAAUCAGGUAGGGAUACCCGCUGAACUUAAGCAUAUCAAUAAGCGGAGGA